GCAAGGUUAACCGUAUAGGGGAGCCGGAGGGAAACCGAGUCUUAACCGGGCGUUAAGUUGCAGGGUAUAGACCCGAAACCCGGUGAUCUAGCCAUGGGCAGGUUGAAGGUUGGGUAACACUAACUGGAGGACCGAACCGACUAAUGUUGAAAAAUUAGCGGAUGACCUGUGGCUGGGGGUGAAAGGCCAAUCAAACCGGGAGAUAGCUGGUUCUCCCCGAAAGCUAUUUAGGUAGCGCCUCGUGAAUUCAUCUCCGGGGGUAGAGCACUGUUUCGGCUAGGGGGCCAUCCCGGCUUACCAACCCGAUGCAAACUGCGAAUACCGGAGAAUGUUAUCACGGGAGACACACGGCGGGUGCUAACGUCCGUCGUGAAGAGGGAAACAACCCAGACCGCCAGCUAAGGUCCCAAAGUCAUGGUUAAGUGGGAAACGAUGUGGGAAGGCCCAGACAGCCAGGAUGUUGGCUUAGAAGCAGCCAUCAUUUAAAGAAAGCGUAAUAGCUCACUGGUCGAGUCGGCCUGCGCGGAAGAUGUAACGGGGCUAAACCAUGCACCGAAGCUGCGGCAGCGACGCUGAUGCGUUGUUGGGUAGGGGAGCGUUCUGUAAGCCUGCGAAGGUGGCCUGUGAGGGUUGCUGGAGGUAUCAGAAGUGCGAAUGCUGACAUAAGUAACGAUAAAGCGGGUGAAAAGCCCGCUCGCCGGAAGACCAAGGGUUCCUGUCCAACGUUAAUCGGGGCAGGGUGAGUCGACCCCUAAGGCGAGGCCGAAAGGCGUAGUCGAUGGGAAACGGGUUAAUAUUCCCGUACUUGGUGUUACUGCGAAGGGGGGACGGAGAAGGCUAUGUUGGCCGGGCGACGGUU
rnacentral:rRNA from 1 species